UUUUUUUUAAUUCUUUUUUUUUUUCAUGGAACGAAGAUGGGCAUAAGAGAUUUGGGCUUGUUUAGUUGUUUUGACUUUUGAUUAAUUUAAAGUUUUUCUUUCAGACUGGUAUGAAGACACGUUCUCAGAAGCAAUAUUUUCAUUCGAUAACGAGAAUCAAUAAUCAAUACAUUUUUCUCAAGGAUCAUUAAUUAAUCAGGUUUUUUUUUUUAAAGAAAAAAAAAUUAACCUACUAAAACAUAUGUUGCAUUUUCUUAGAAGGUUUCUUUGAUUUGUUUCUUCCUAAAUAUGUAAAUGACAAUUUGUUUAGAUAUAGCAUCAAGAUUAGGAAGAUAAAAGACACUCCAACCAAUUAAUACAAUCAUUGAAAACACAAUCAGUGAGAAUUCAUAGCUAUCAAACUACAUUCCUUUAGAUUGCUGUAUAUGUAAUGUUUACAUCGACCCACCCCGAAGAAUUAAAUAUCUGGGUUUUAAUUUUGUAAAUUAAAUGAAGAAUAUUCAAAUGCUGUAUUUGAAUCGUACAGUCAUGGUACAUAAUUCAAUUUAAUAAGCAAUGAUCAUUGAAAUUGCUUAAGCUGCAAUUAUGUGUACCCCAUAUGAUAUUAUGAUUAUGCUUUGGAUGUAAGCUCUCAAUGCUCUUAUGUGGCUGGAUAUUUUCCAAGAACCAUAACUCAAGUCAAUGAGGAAGAACAGGAGGUGCAAUUGUGUGGGUGUUGUAUGAUUUGCAGUGCCUGCAUUUCUGCCCAAUUAUGUGGAAGUAUACUUCUGCUGUGUCAUUGCAGUCAUUACAUAGGAUCCAAACCUGCAAAUUGCCCAUGCUUUUUAGACGUCCUUCAGUGAAAUUACUUCAAAAGACUAAUAAUGCGUGUCUUGUUUCAAACAUAGGAAACAGAUUGUUAUUUACAUGUUUAACUUUCAUCUAAUGUAAGUUUUCAUUUUUUUUCCGCCCUCUUUGGUAAGUCAUAUGAUGUGUUAUAAAUUCAAUAUCACCAAAGUCUUCACAUGAAAUCUUGUCAGCACAGCUUAUAUCGCAUCCAAAGAAACACAAUAGUUUCCAUGCAUUUCAGUUGAGGAUGAUUAGUCUGGCUUAAACUCUGCUGUGUUUUCGUUAAUCGUUUCAAAAUCACUGCAUAAUUUAAGACUUUCAUUACAUAUUUAUUUAUUUACUUAUUUAUUUCUUUUUGUCUUUGUCUUUGGAUUUGGCUUUCUUCAAUUCAAAUUUGCCUGUAUGGCUCAAACUAGCACAAGAAGGUGCUGUCAAAUUUUUGUUGUGUGGGCUGAACAUUGUAACGAGACUAACCAAUAAGAUUUCGCAUGAAAACACUGCCAUGUAAUAGAUCAGGUCUUUGUGUGGGUAUGUGAAGCCAUCACAGAAAGGUUCAAGGAGAAGGAUUGUCCUCGUAAAUAGGCCAAGUGACAUCUAGUAGAUGGAGAGUGAUCCUGGUUAUUACUGGCUUUGAUGCUGUUUCAUAUGAAUAAUCUUUUUUGAAUUAUCUCCAAUUAUAAUUAUAGGAUGUUAGGACACAUAUCAAUUUAGGAAUGGGAAUACUGACGGGAAUCUUUCCAUAAUUGGGAGAUAGUAGACACCCUUAGAUGAUACUAGCAAUCCAACAAACACAUUUCUGUUCUACUUUCUAAGUUGAAGUUUUCCUUCAGUUCUUGGGGCUUGAGCUGUAUCGUUUCUUUACUAAACCUACUCUUUGUAAAUUGGGCAUGAGUACAUCUCUAUAAGCAUGUGUGCUGCAUUGAUAUAAGGCUUUUACUAUUCAGUAUUGACAACAAAGUAUAGGACGAUGGUAUCAUUACCUGCAUUUGACCUAUUGUGAAAACUCCAUGCCUGAAGAUGAAGUAGAUGCCAAUAGUCAGAAUUUUAAGAUAGUUUCAGUUUCACGUGCCUACAGCAAUUGGUCAUCUUUAAAUUCUUAUAUAUAGUUCACAUUUAGUUUUAACUUCAAUUGGAUCUUUUGUUUUAAUCUCUUAACUUCCUGUGUGAACGUGAUAUAACAUUGAAACAUGUAUUUUUAUUUUCCAUGACAUAUUUUAGGCAACAAAUAUUGAGUAUGAUGAA
rnacentral:misc_RNA from 1 species